UACAGAGGUCUCAAGCGUUGUUCGGAUUCAUUGGGCGUAAAGAGCGUGUAGGCGGCCAUGCAGGUCCGUUGUGAAAACUCGAGGCUCAACCUCGAGACGCCGAUGGAAACCGCAUGGCUAGAGUCCGGAAGAGGAGAGUGGAAUUCCUGGUGUAGCGGUGAAAUGCGCAGAUAUCAGGAAGAACACCCGUGGCUAAGGCGGCUCUCUAGUACGGUACUGACGCUGAGACGCGAAAGCGUGGGGAGCGAACAGG
rnacentral:rRNA from 1 species